AGUUGACCUCAAAUCAGGUAGGAUACGAUGAACUUAAGCAUAUCAAUAAGCGGAGGAAAAGAAACCAACUGGGAUUACCUUAGUAACGGCGAGUGAAGCGGUAA
rnacentral:rRNA from 1 species